rnacentral:rRNA from 1 species
CCUACGGGAUGCAGCAGUGGGGGAUAUUGCACAAUGGGGGGAACCCUGAUGCAGCGACGCCGCGUGGGUGCAGGAGUGCUUCGGCAUGUAAAGCCCUAUCGGCAGGGAAGAAGAAAGACGGUACCUGACUAAGAAGCCCCGGCUAACUCCGUGCCAGCAGCCGCGGUAAUACGGAGGGUGCGAGCGUUAAUCGGAAUUACUGGGGGUAAAGCGCUCGUAGGCGGUAUGUCAAGUCAAGGGGGAAAUCCUCGGGCUAACCGUGGGAACUGCCGUUGAAACUGGCAAACUGGAGUGUGUGAGAGGAUAGUGGAAUUCCAGGUGUAGGAGUGAAAUCCGUAGAUAUCUGGAGGAACAUCAGUGGCGAAGGCGACUAUCUGGCACAUAACUGACGCUGAGGAGCGAAAGCGUGGGUAGCAAACAGGAUUAGAUACCCCUGUAGUC